GGCCGCGUGGCCUAAUGGCAUGGCGUUAGAUUUCGGCUCUAAAGAUUGUCGGUUCGAAUCCGGCCGUGGUCG
rnacentral:tRNA from 1 species